AAGCCAUGACUAACUUCUUAUUUACCAAAGACUUCCCACUUUCCUUUUCCUUUCCUUAAAAGCCUUCUUCCUUUGCUGUGAUGACACUUGCAUGUGGCUCACCAUAAUUGCAGACCCCAAAUUGCAAUUCUCUGCCAAUCCUAAACAAACCCAACUUUACUAAAGAAAUUUCUGGUGGUCUAUUUCUUUAUACUUUUCAGACCUUCUGGACUGCUUGCUUUUAUAUAAGUUGUUUUGUGACUUCACUAACUAGCCAGGAGCUGAUGAAGCACUGGGUUGUGCAACCACAGAUUAAUUCUUGGACAGAUUUUUCUGCUUCACUACUUCUUUUGUGGGUGCCAAAAAUAAUUGCUGAUUGUGCCAAGUUGUGUCUUUAUCAGCUGUCAAAGAUCUCAGUGCACUGUCAUAUGGCAUCUAAGCACAUCAAACCACAACCAAAGCAAAGAAUAAAGAUGAGAGAAAGAGUGAAUUCUGAAACCAGUUCCAGUGUUUUCUGCUCAAAGCUCCAAGAGACAAUGUUGAAAACUCCCAUAAUUCGCGUCCUGGAGUAUUCUGAAUCAAUGCAACUGAUACUCUCUCCCAUAAUCACAGAGAAAAUGAGAACUCUAAGAAUCUAUCUCUGAAUCAAUUUCUGAAGUCUUUGACACAAUUUUCCCCAUCAUUGAGCAUAAUGGUGCCUGAAAUAUACAACUAGAGACGGACAAUAUAAAUUUGCAGUGUCUGGAG
rnacentral:lncRNA from 1 species